GGGUGUUUAGCUCAGCUGGUUCAGAGCAUCUGCCUUACAAGCAGAGGGUCGGCGGUUCGAAUCCGUCAACACCCACCC
rnacentral:tRNA from 2 species